UUGCUUUGGCUGCACAUACCUAAACUUAGAAUAAUACAAAGAAGAUUAUGUUGGCUCCUAUGCAAGGUAGACCUGCAGAUUUGUGAAGUGCUCCAUAUUUUU
rnacentral:snRNA from 1 species